rnacentral:ncRNA from 1 species
ACCAAGGAGUCUAACAUGUGCGCGAGCCGCGGGGCAGUACGAAACCCGUAAGGCGAAAUGAAGGUGAACGCCGGCGCGGUCCGGCGGAGGUUGGAUCCCGUCCCGUCGGGGCGGGCGCACUACCGGCCGAUCUUCUCCGCCCUGUCGGCGAGGUCGAGCGAGAGCGUGCAAGUCGGGACCCGAAAGAUGGUGAACUAUGCCUGAGGAGGUUGAAGCCAGAGGAAACUCUGGUGGAGGACCGUAGCGAUUCUGACGUGCAAAUCGAUCGUCAAAUUUGGGUAUAGGGGCGAAAGACUAAUCGAACCGUCUAGUAGCUGGUUCCCUUCGAAGUUUCCCUCAGGAUAGCUGGCGCUCUGUCGCAGUUUUAUCUGGUAAAGCGAAUGAUUAGAGGGUCUUGGGGGGCGAAACGCCCUCAACCUAUUCUCAAACUUUAAAUUGGUAAGAAGCCCGACUCGCUCGUUUGGAGCCGGGCAUGGAAUGCGAGUGCCAAGUGGGCCACUCUUGGUAAGCAGGACUGGCGAUGCGGGAUGAACCGAACGCCGGGUUAAGGCGCCCGACGCGACGCUCAUCAGAGCCACAAAAG